UACAGAGGUCUCAAGCGUUGUUCGGAAUUACUGGGCGUAAAGGGCUCGUAGGCGGCCAACUAAGUCAGACGUGAAAUCCCUCGGCUUAACCGGGGAACUGCGUCUGAUACUGGACGGCUAGAGUCUGGUAGGGGGAUCUGGAAUUCCUGGUGUAGCGGUGGAAUGCGCAGAUAUCAGGAGGAACACCGGUGGCGAAGGCGGGAUCCUGGGCCAGUACUGACGCUGAGGAGCGAAAGCGUGGGGAGCAAACAGG
rnacentral:rRNA from 1 species